rnacentral:rRNA from 1 species
AUUGAACGCUGGCGGCAGGCCUAACACAUGCAAGUCGAGCGGAUGAAGGGAGCUUGCUCCUGGAUUCAGCGGCGGACGGGUGAGUAAUGCCUAGGAAUCUGCCUGGUAGUGGGGGAUAACGUCCGGAAACGGGCGCUAAUACCGCAUACGUCCUGCGGGAGAAAGUGGGGGAUCUUCGGACCUCACGCUAUCAGAUGAGCCUAGGUCGGAUUAGCUAGUUGGUGGGGUAAAGGCCUACCAAGGCGACGAUCCGUAACUGGUCUGAGAGGAUGAUCAGUCACACUGGAACUGAGACACGGUCCAGACUCCUACGGGAGGCAGCAGUGGUGAAUAUUGGACAAUGGGCGAAAGCCUGAUCCAGCCAUGCCGCGUGUGUGAAGAAGGUCUUCGGAUUGUAAAGCACUUUAAGUUGGGAGGAAGGGCAGUAAGUUAAUACCUUGCUGUUUUGACGUUACCAACAGAAUAAGCACCGGCUAACUUCGUG